rnacentral:rRNA from 1 species
CUGGCGGCGUGCCUAACCAUUGCUCUCCGACGAAGUUCUUUCGGAACUUUUUCGCGGACGGGUGAGUAACGCGUGAGAAUCUACCUUCAGGACGGGGACAACAUUCUGGAAACGGCUGCUAAUACCCGAUAUGCCGAAAGGUGUAAAAGUUGUUUCGCCUGGAGGGAGGAGCUCUGCGUCCGAUUAGCUAGUUGGUGAGGUAAAAGCUUACCAAGGCGCACGAUUCGGUAGCUGUGUCUGAGAGGAUGAGCAGCCACACUGGAACUGAGACACCGGUCCAGACUCCUACGGGAGGCAGCAGUGGGGAAUUUUCCGCAAUGGGCGAAAGCCUGAUCGGACGCAUCGCCGCGUGGGGGAAGAAGGUUUUUGGAUUGUAAACCCCUUUUCUCAAGGAAGAACAUAAUGACGGUAACUUGAGGAAUCAGCCUCGGCUAACUCCGUGCCAGCAGCCGCGGUAAUACGGAGGAGGCAAGCGUUAUCCGGAAUUAUUGGGCGUAAAGCGUUCGUAGGCGGCUGUUCAAGU